UACGGAGGGUGCAAGCGUUAUCCGGAUUUACUAGGUUUAAAGGGUGCGUAGGUGGGUCUGUAAGUCAGUGGUGAAAUCUCCGGGCUUAACCCGGAAACUGCCAUUGAUACUAUAGAUCUUGAAUAUCCUGGAGGUGAGCGGAAUAUGUCAUGUAGCGGUGAAAUGCUUAGAUAUGACAUAGAACACCAAUUGCGAAGGCAGCUCACUACGGGAUCAUUGACACUGAGGCACGAAAGCGUGGGGAUCAAACAGG
rnacentral:rRNA from 1 species